AUUGAACGCUGGCGGCAUGCCUUACACAUGCAAGUCGAACGGCAGCGGGGGAGAAGCUUGCUUUUCCUGCCGGCGAGUGGCGAACGGGUGAGUAAUACAUCGGAACGUGCCCUGUAGUGGGGGAUAACUAGUCGAAAGAUUAGCUAAUACCGCCUACGACCUGAGGGUGAAAGUGGGGGACCGCAAGGCCCCAUGCUAUAGGAGCGGCCGAUGUCUGAUUAGCUAGUUGGUGGGGUAAAGGCCUACCAAGGCGACGAUCAGUAGCUGGUCUGAGAGGACGAUCAGCCACACUGGGACUGAGACACGGCCCAGACUCCUACGGGAGGCAGCAGUGGGGAAUUUUGGACAAUGGGCGAAAGCCUGAUCCAGCAAUGCCGCGUGUGUGAAGAAGGCCUUCGGGUUGUAAAGCACUUUUGUCCGGAAAGAAAUGGCUCUGGUUAACACCUGGGGUCGAUGACGGUACCGGAAGAAUAAGGACCGGCUAACUACGUGCCAGCCGCCGCCGUAA
rnacentral:rRNA from 1 species